rnacentral:tRNA from 1 species
GGGUGGUUACCAGAGUGGCCAAAUGGGGCAGACUGUAAAUCUGCUGGCGUACGCCUUCGGUGGUUCGAAUCCAUCACUUCCCACAA